GCCUUCGUGGUGUAACGGUAGCACACUCGGGGCGUAUCCGAGAGGUUUCAGGUUCGAGUCUCGCCAAUGGCA
rnacentral:tRNA from 1 species